rnacentral:sRNA from 1 species
GCUGAGCAUGGUGGCGCAUGCCUGUAAUCCCAGCAGCUAGGGAAGCUGAGACAGGAUUGUGGAUUCAAAGCCAGCCUCAG